rnacentral:lncRNA from 1 species
CGCGGGGUUUCAGGCGUGGUGUGGGAGUACACGGGAGCCGCGGAGUGGGAACCUUCCGCCUCCUCCCGGGAGCGCGGUUUCACUUCGGCCGGGGGCGGCGGGAGGAGGGAUCUGCCCACGGAGACCCGACACACGAGCCCCGCGUCCCGCGUGGGGCCGUGCGGGUCCCGCUGUCGGCGCUCCCCGCGGGGUCCCGAAGCCCCACCCGUGUCCGCCGUUGGAGGUCCGUGCCCGCCCCGGUGACACGGCGGCAGGCAGGAUCCCCGGGAAACAACGCUGCUCGGGCUGGGGACAGCGCCGGUGCCCUCCGGUCCCCGCACCCCCCGGGCGGCCUCCCCAGCCGGGGAAAGGGAAGGGGCUCGUGCCCCAGCCCCACGCCUGCACGGCUGGGCGCCCUCUCAUUCACCGGAGGGCAGACGCAGCCGUAUCCCCGCGGCCGCUCCCGCCGUGGGUUUCCCACGCGUGAGCGUGGCAGCCGCCCAGGCCCCCUGCUCAUCGGCACCGAGCUCCUGAGCGAACGGGAGAGCGACGUGGGGACAGCAGGGAAAGACCCACGGGAGGCUUCUGGUCUGGUCUCGUCUGUCGUGAACGGCGCCGCAGGAGCCCACGCGCGUCCCACUCUCGGGGCAGCUCCGAGCGGCGGCGCUGCCCACGGACACGGAAACCGCUUCACUCCGCGGGACCGGGCUGAAGGGCUGUCCGGUCCUCCCGGAGCCUCACACCGACAGCGCGGGGGGGGCGGGUUCGGUCCCUGCCCACUUGCGAGAACCGGUCGCGUGGGACCUCCUGUCUCCCAGAGGCUGCUCCGAUUUCCCGCGAUUCGUGCGUGUCUCGUUCUUCCGUGGCCCCCUCGGGGAGAAGGUGCUGUUUCCCGACGCCGUGCCGUGGGGCGAGAGGCAGAGCCAGAGCGGGGAGCCGGUGGGGGUACCGGCUGGCAGCCUCCCCGGUACCGGCUGGCAGCCUCCCCGGUACCGGCUGGCAGCCUCCCGGUACCGGCUGGCAGCCUCCAGGCGCAGCCCCAUUCCUACGCCAGUUUGCUGACAGAUAACGCGGGAGAUGGACCAAAUCGCGCGUGGGGCCGCCCCGCUGGCCCCGGGUCACCUCUCCUCCUCCCCGGGACCGCAGCCGGGGGCUGCCGGCACAACGAAACCGGCGGCAGCGGUGCCCCAUUCUGCCGGUCGUGUCCGCGUCGCCGGGAAGGAUUCGCGUUCCCGCAGCGGCGGCGGCGCCGAGCGGCACGCGCGACCGCGCCUGUCCGUGGACGGCUCCGCGGCACCGCGAUCUCCCCCGGUACCGGGACGGGCGGUUCGCGCGGGAUCGCUCCCACCCCAGACACCGCUCUCUUUGUCCGACCACCGGUAGGCGGGCCAGGCCCAUACCGCGGCGGAACUCCCCAUUCCGCACCCUCCUGCCGCCGCGGAACCCCCGUCCCGUUCCCGGUGCCGCGGAACCCCG